rnacentral:rRNA from 1 species
UGGGGAAUAUUGGGCAAUGGGCGAAAGCCUGACCCAGCAACGCCGCGUGAGUGAUGAAGGCCUUCGGGUUGUAAAACUCUUUGGACAGGGACGAAGAAAGUGACGGUACCUGUAGAACAAGCCACGGCUAACUACGUGCCAGCAGCCGCGGUAAUACGUAGGUGGCGAGCGUUGUCCGGAAUUACUGGGCGUAAAGAGCUCGUAGGCGGUUUGUCACGUCGUCUGUGAAAUCCUAGGGCUUAACCCUGGACGUGCAGGCGAUACGGGCUGACUUGAGUACUACAGGGGAGACUGGAAUUUCUGGUGUAGCGGUGGAAUGCACAGAUAUCAGGAAGAACACCGAUGGCGAAGGCAGGUCUCUGGGUAGUAACUGACGCUGAGGAGCGAAAGCAUGGGUAGCGAACAGG